UACGGAGGGUGCGAGCGUUGUCCGGAAUCACUGGGCGUAAAGGGCGCGUAGGCGGCCUGGCAAGUCGAUGGUGAAAGCCCGAGGCUCAACUUCGGGUCGGCCACUGAUACUGCUAGGCUUGAGUCGACUAGGCAGAUGGAAUUCCGGGUGUAGCGGUGGAAUGCGUAGAGAUCCGGAAGAACACCGGUGGCGAAGGCGGUCUGCUGGGGUCGAACUGACGCUGAGGCGCGACAGCGUGGGGAGCAAACAGG
rnacentral:rRNA from 1 species